GUAGUCCUGGCUGGUCUGGAGCUCACUCUGUAGUCCAGGAUGGCCUUGAACAUAAGGCAAUCUUCCUGUCUCAGACUUUCAAGAGCUUGUACUGCAGCCAAAAGUUGCAGUCAUAAGUUCCCGAAACAGGGGAGCUACACAGCAGGAGGAUUGCUUCAAGGGCAGCUUGGACUACACAGCUUGAACCUGUCUCAACAUCUCCUAGAAGCCUCCCCACCUCCAGUUCCCCCCUAUAGUCUUGUCUUUCUAUCCUGCUUCAAGGGCAGUUAGCGAGAGGAAGGACUUUCUCCUCAGUGGUUCCUGCCCAGCACAGCGCAUUGUCAUCUUCUACCUGCAGAUCAGCUCCAGAAGUAAAAAUGCAGCUGUCACAAAUGUCCUUUAUAGUUCUUCCCCAGUGCUCCUCUGCCUUUGUCUCUGAGUGGUGGAUAUAAGAGGUAACUUCUCACCAUCAGUUGCUUUAUUACAGUCGGUAGCCAGAGUGUGCAUGUGGCAAUGGAGUUACAGUGGACAUUAAAGAACAGGGCUUUAGAACAGGGAUAGAAUGAGUAAGUUAGAUUUUUGCACGGGGUGACGGGAACCUGAGCCUGGUACUGGUGCUGUCAUUCACGGCUUCCCUGGGAGUUGAAACAGGUCAUUGAGCUAGCAGGAGGCAGAUGCAUUC
rnacentral:lncRNA from 1 species